AUGGAGAAACAUCUACUACUGAUUGUCAUAACAGCAUCAGGUGUAUUUCCUGACAGCACUGGACCAAAAGACAAGGACGCAAUAAUCAGUAAAGAAGGAGAGUCUGUGACUCUGAGCUGCUCAUACAGUACAAUUGCCAGUGACAUCUUGCUUUACUGGUUCAGACAGUUUCCAAACACAGAACCUCAGUAUUUACUGUGGAAAGGUGCUCGAUCGUGGAACCGUGAGGAGAACAUACCAGACCGACGGUUUAAGUCGACUACAUCCCAGUCAUCCACUGAACUCAUUAUUAACAGUGUGACUCUGUCAGAUUCAGCUCUCUAUUAUUGUGCUCUAAGAGUUGGAGCCCAGUGAUACAAAAUGCCUGAGAGGCUUUACAAAAACUCACACACAAAACUGAACAACAGUAAUCAAAAGACUCGCGCACAAAGCCACAUUUAUCUCUCAUAUAACCCACACAGA